UUUCCUCCUCAUUGUAAUGAAAACUGCAGUGGGGUUUCCUAUGAGGUCUUCUGUGUACUUUUAAUCAAAGUGGAAUUUCCACUUACCUCCUCCAUUUACCAGCUUAUAUAAAUUCAAGAGUGAGCUGAUAUCUGCAUUCAUACCAUUCUGUUCACAUCGUGACCUUCGUCCUCCUCAUCAUCAUCAUCACCAUCACCAUCAGCAGCCAUGGUCUCUCAUUCUCUCCUGCUGGUUCUGCUGGGUCUCGCCUGCCUUCAGUCCUUCACAAUGGCCAUCAAUGUAAAUGGACCAGAUCAGUGCUGUUUCAGAUACCAGACACAUCGAAUCCCUGUAAAACUCAUUACAGCGUAUAAGGAAACAGAACGUCAGUGUCAAAAACCUGGAGUCAUCUUCACUCUAAAGGACGGCCGUCAGGUGUGUGCAGACCGCAGCGUCAAGUGGGUGCAGAAACGCAUGAAAACAAUUGGCCAGCGCUCGACCUAACCUCAAACAACUGAUUAAAUCCUCUCUCCAUUAAUAAGAUUAUUUUGUGUAUUCACUGGAUCGAAGGAAUAAAGCUUUUUAUUAUAAAUCAUAUUGAAUCCUUUUCUUAGUUUAUUCUACAAUUAUGUAUCUGCAGUAAAUAUGGGAUAAUGUAAACUAUGAGAUGUAGCCAUUGAUUUUUUUUUUUUUUUUUUUUAAACACUGUGCAUGUUAAAGGAUUAAAGAACAAUGGAAUAUUAAGGCUAAGUUUCGGGGGGGUUGUUAAUUUUUUUAUUUUUUUAUUUUAAUGUUCACUUUUCAAAGAAAACCAUGUUCAUGUUACAUCUUUGAGAGCAACAUUUAAGAAUUAAAAAAAAAAAAACGUUUUCAGCACUCAGUAUGUGUACAUACUCGUUCAUGUCUCAAUCAAUCAAUCAAUCAAUCAAGCAGAUUAAAAGAUUAUAUAUGAUAUUAUUGAUAUAUUGAUAUGAUAUCAAACAUUUAAGAAAAUUACAUUAAAAAGUGUCAUUGGUUAAUGCAGAAAUUUCCAUCCGGAACAUUUUUAUGUAUUUAUGUAGACUCACAGAUGCAGAAAUUCACUCAUGGAUAGACAAAAUGAUUAUAUGAAUAGAAGAUUUUGGGGCGUGGCUGUGGGGAUUUUGGGGCGUGGCUGUGGGGAUUUUGAGCCGUGGCUGUGGGGAUUUGUGUUCAUUCAGCUACAAGAGCAUUAGUGAGGUCGAGGAGACUCCAGUUCCGGUUCAUCCCAAAGGUGUUCAGUGUGGUUGAGGUCAGGGCUCUGUGCAGAACACUCAAGUUCUUCAACCUUCUUCCAACCUUCACACACCACGUCUUCAUGGAGCUCGCUUUGUGCACACUGGGAACAGGUUUGGGAUUCUUAGUUCCAGUGAAGAGAAACUGUAAUAUUAGAGCAAACAAAGAUAUUCAAUACAAUUCUGUGCUUCCAACUUUGUGACAACAAUUUGGUGAAGAAACACAUACUGUAUGGAUGUGAUGUUCAGGUGCUGUUUUGGUGAAGGAGACAUUUAUUUAACAUUUAUGGAAGGAGUCUCUAGUGUCAGCGCUUUGUACCAGUCAGAGGUGAAACUGUAACAUUAAGCUUUCAGACAUCUUCAGGACAAGCUGCAUAUGUUCAUACUGGGGUAAAGCUAUAGUCCUUUACUUAAGUUUCUUUUAGGUUGUGUGUGUUUGUGGAUGAGAUUAAACACAGGGUUGGAAGGAAACACACUUCCAAGAUCACACUUUUCAAGAUCUUGUACUUCAGCGGUCAGUGGGUUAUAGAGUGGAGGAGCUGUAUAUGGCAUGACACUGAUGUGACCAGUGCGGCAUUUUCUAUGUAGUUAAACUAUAACUGACAAUGACGACACCAGUCUGGGAGUUUCCCCCGAGGAAAUACACAGUAAAGGAACACAGUUUCGCCGGUACAAUGAAAAGACAUGUUGUCCAAUUUAACAUAAAGGGAGACUUUCUUUUUUUUAUCCUUCAGCAUCAAAUGAAGAAAACGCUAAACGAGAGAAUUAGACAAUAGUCAGUCAUCAUACCCAUCGAAUGUCCACUAACAAAUGUAUGAUAACAAUGAUGUUGAAAUCUCACCAGCUUAAAGGGGACAUUUCCCCAUAUAUUUAUAGCACAGAGAGUAAC